GGCCCAUAUUCCCGCGCGUGCUCGGCGCCGGCAUCCUCUCUCAUCCCCGGCCGGUUCCCCUCACCGGCCGCCGCCGGCUCCUCGCCGUCCCUUGUCAUCGGCGGAUCAAGCAUUGGUAGCAGCAGCGCCACCCCUCGCUCCUCGGCUCGCCCCCAAUCCCCCCACCGCAACCCUAACCCUCCCCAAUCGGCCGCCGCCGACAUUCCUCCGCCCUCCGCCGGAACCCAGCUGCCACCUGGCGCUGCUCGUCGACCUCAUCGUCAACGAAAUCCCCAUCCGCUUCCCGCCGGAAGAGCCGGAGCGCCUCGCGGAGCUGUUUAAGGAGCAAGGAAGGAAAAAAAAAAAGAGGAACAACAUGCAAAUUCAGUGCUGAACUGUUGAUUUGUGCCCGAGGGAUGGGCAUUUAUAUGGAUAGACAAAAUGGAUCGAAAGAAGCCCAUCAGAGCAAGUUUCGUUCGUCUACCCUUAGCCUAAGAAGUCAAAAAGGGUCGUCGUGUGAAGGCUGUCAAUGGGAUCUUCAGAUGCUCUGUUUAUCCGUUUUGCCCUGGUUUACUUAUGUACUUCCGUUGGGAUAGUAGAUGCUGAUUUCACUGAACUCUUUGUUUCGUAGUUUCAAGUAUGCUCUUUGUUGGGAUAGUAGAGAAGUGCAGCUCAAAUGCUACGUUUAUGCGAACCGUCGAGGGCUGAGGCAACAGAGCGAGAGGAGCAUGAAGAGAUCUGGGAUGAAUGGUGAUGUUGUUUUAUGAUGAUGAUGAUCUGCUGUUCAUGAUGGUGCAUGAGGUUCUUAUGAUUUGCUGGGAGUAAAACUUGUUCUUAGUUUAGCUUUUGGUGCUCUUUUGGAUGAGCCUGGUCUGAUGAUAGAUGUGAUGGUUAUAAGACUUAUAUCUCCUGUAGUGUGGUUUUGAGUGAUAUCAGGUUUUUGCCCCGCAACUCAUGUUCCUGAUGACAGGCGUGAGUGGCGGGUUUCCUGAUAUUGCUCUGAACUCGCUUUUUUCCCUUUCCCUCUCUUUUUCUGGUCCUAAAACUUUAUAUUUCCGUUAUUGAAAAGUAAUGGAAAGGGGAGAAAGCCCGGUUCUAAAAAAAAUAUAUAUUUGCCUUGUCGUGGCAGUUGACACUUAGACCCACCCUUCGGUACGGAUGAUCUGACUCAUUUGCUUGUGUGAGUUUCGCUUUCAGCUAUCUUGAUUAUUGUUUGGGUUAGGUUUCUUUUGGGAAUAUUGCCCCUAGAGAGUGCAACCAGCUCGCUAUUGGGUUGAGAAUGAGAUUUUGUUUUUUCCUUUGCCAUGAUGGCGCUACUUGUUUGUGGAACUAUUUUUGCAGCCGCUGCACAGGCUGGGUGACAGAGAUGGUUAUUGGAGUGAUUUCAUUACCAUGUCUAGUGUUUGCUCGGUUAGAUGCAGCUGGAAGCUCCUAUGUUGCUCUCAAAUUUCAUGCGGAUUCUUUUAAGAAUGGUCCAUGUUUGUGGUGAGCAUAUGCCAUAGCCCAUAGGUUGUGCUUGAACAAAGAGAGUGGAAAAAAGUUCCCACAUUUCAGUACCAUGUAUAUUUAGAACAAAGAGGUUACUUUAGCUAGUACACCCUCUGUUCCAAAAUACUUCCUCUGUAAACUAAGAGGGAGUACAAGACAUCUUGGCAGUUCAGUUUAAGCAGCCAAAACGUCUUAUAUUUAGAAACAGGUAGUAGUUUGCUAGCAUCUGUUUUAACAUCUUCCAUAUUACUGUCAGUAGCCUAACAGGAUUGCAUGCCUUCACUGGAGGAAGUUAAGAGGAAUUUUUUAAUGGUCUUCUGUUAGAACCUGGUGAAAUUUUUUGCUAGAGACUGAGAUCUUGAGCGCUGGAGUGGACCAAGUAUGCCAGGAGCACGUCGAAAGUGUAGCUGCUGCUGUACCAUGUAUAAUAACAUAAGAGAAUUGCAUGUAUGAGAGAUCAUGACACGAUGGAAGAUUUGGGUUGGCUGUCAAUUGGCUUGAAAGGAUUACGUCGUUACAAGUAACUGCUGGAAUCUUUUAGCCUCGGACAAUUUUCUAUUUGUUCUCCAAAUGGAAAGGUCAGCUCUGAGCUCCUACCCGGCUACCCCCAUCACCCUUGGUCUGGGUGAGACAAAAAUAAUGGUGUUCUCACGUUUCCUGUCAUUCGCUAGAGUGAGAAUAUUUAGAACGGAAGCCCCACUCCAACAGCCAGGUAGUGUGGGAUCUUUGAAAAAAAAUCCAUAUCUUCGAUAAACUGAAUUGAUCACUAUCGACAAUACCUAGAUCAAGCCAUGAUAUGCAUCCAAACCGUCAA